rnacentral:rRNA from 1 species
UACGUAGGGUGCAAGCGUUAAUCGGAAUUACUGGGCGUAAAGCGUGCGCAGGCGGUUCGCUAAGACCGAUGUGAAAUCCCCGGGCUUAACCUGGGAACUGCAUUGGUGACUGGCGGGCUAGAGUAUGGCAGAGGGGGGUAGAAUUCCACGUGUAGCAGUGAAAUGCGUAGAGAUGUGGAGGAAUACCGAUGGCGAAGGCGGGUUGCUGGGCCGACACUGACGCUGAUGCGCGAAAGCCAGGGGAGCGAACGGG